rnacentral:rRNA from 1 species
GAUGAACGCUGGCGGCGUGCCUAAUACAUGCAAGUCGAGCGAACAGACGAGGAGCUUGCUCCUCUGACGUUAGCGGCGGACGGGUGAGUAACACGUGGAUAACCUACCUAUAAGACUGGGAUAACUUCGGGAAACCGGAGCUAAUACCGGAUAAUAUAUUGAACCGCAUGGUUCAAUAGUGAAAGACGGUUUUGCUGUCACUUAUAGAUGGUUCCGCGCCGCAUUAGCUAGUUGGUAAGGUAACGGCUUACCAAGGCAACGAUGCGUAGCCGACCUGAGGGGGAGAACGGCCACACUGGAACUGAGACACGGUCCAGACUCCUACGGGAGGCAGCAGUAGGGAAUCUUCCGCGAUGGGCGAAAGCCUGACGGAGCAACGCCGCGGGAGUGAUGAAGGUCUUCGGAUCGUAGAACUCUGUUAUUAGGGAAGAAGAAAUGUGUAAGUAACUAUGCACGUCUUGACGGUACCUAAACAGAAAGCCACGGCUAACUACGUG